UACGUAGGUGGCAAGCGUUGUCCGGAUUUACUGGGCGUAAAGGGCGCGUAGGCGGCCACCGCAAGUCAAUUGUGAAAUCUCCGGGCUUAACCCGGAAAGGUCAGCCGAUACUGCGGGGCUAGAGUGCAGAAGGGGCAACUGGAAUUCUCGGUGUAGCGGUGAAAUGCGUAGAGAUGUGGAGGAACACCGAUGGCGAAGGCAGCCUCCUGGGCCAGCACUGACGCUCAUGCACGAAAGCGUGGGGAGCAAACAGG
rnacentral:rRNA from 1 species